CGCCGGCGGCUUCCGGGCCCAUCGGUGGCUUCCGGGCCCUGGGCAGCGGGCUUCGGUGCUGCCGGGCAGGGACGGGCUCGGCCCCGUGUCAGCGGGAAGGACCUGCCCCCCCCCCCCCCAACCUGCAGGCCUCGGCUUCUCGGUUCCAGGCCCUCAGUCGAGGGGCCUGGGCCUUUCUGCCGGGGACCCUGCAGCUCUUUGGUUGGGGAACCUCAGGAAUGGGGUCUCGGGCCCCUUGGCCGUGGGCUCCAGGACCCUCACAGAAGCACAGGGAGCUGAGAGAGAAAAGCAGGGCCGGAGGGCAGUUAAAGCGCUGAAAACAUUCCACUCAGGACCGUUGACAUAGGGCACAAGAGACCUCAGUCAUCCCCGAAUACCGUGUGGACUGAAAAAACAAUGCACCACCUAAAAGUUGAGAGUUACGUUUUAUUCGGUGGACAAGACUGAGGACUUAAGCCCGGGACACAGCAUCUCAGAUAACUCAGGGACUGUUCCGAAGAGGGAGAGGACGGAAAGCCAGCGUGCAGCUUUGAUAAACGUUUGCCCAAUUGGAUCGCAUUCAAGUUGCUUUCUUGUUUCUCUGUGGCCUCUGCCCACUGAAUCGGGGCCCCGGCUGCCUCAGGGGGGAAGCAGACACAGCGAAGAACAAAGAAAUCAAUUGACUUUCUGGAUGAAUUUUUAAAAACUCUCGGCAGAGAUGGACGUGUGUGCUCACCCUCUCAGCCUCGGGACUUGCUCCAGAGACUCAGGCCUCCCUUGGCCUUGGGACCCUCCUAUCCACCUGCCCUGUCCUGUCUCAGCCCAGCCCUGCCGCCCUCCGCUCUCAACGGCCCUUGGUCUCCUGAGUCUUCUGUUUUCCUCCAGAAUGGAGCCCUGGACUGCCUCGUGGUUUUGCUGUGUGACCGCGGCUCCCUCUUUGCUUGUCUGACUCUCACUGGGCUGCAAGCCAUGGGCAUCCAGGGCGCCCAGCCCCGUCUCCUGCUGAUGGACUCCCCCAGGGCAAGGAGUAGCUCCUGGCCUGCAGGCCUUUUGCAAGGGUGAGGGUCUCUGGCAGGAGCACAGCGGUGGCCAGCUUGUCAAGGAGAGUAAGCCCUGACCAGCACCUUCCAAGAGUUCCAAGACACGAGGCCCCUUCUGUCCACUGGUCACCAACUAGACUCCACGGACAGCGGCCUCCUUUGCACGUGAGCAAACUAAAGGCUCUGGGGGUCCUGAUCCCUGAUCCCCGUGCUUCCAACACACACUCUGACCCCUGUCCUGGGGCCCUGCCCUGCUCCCCGCAGCCUGGAGUGGAGGCUCGGAGUGGUCCGGCGCUCGCCCAAGGUCGUGCAGGGAGCAGGUGAGGCCAGGCCCCCACCCACGCGCAGUCUGCACCCCGUCCCACCUUCCCGGGUGGAGGACAGACGGCGGGCCCCUGCCCACGGGUCUCACUCAGGCUGACCCCGCAUGAGUUCCUUCUCCGAGACCCAGCCUUCUCCGUGCUGUUUGCCUAAAUUUAUUCAACUCAGUCUUCCCACAGGAGCCCCACGGCCACCGUCAACAUCUGUGGGGACACAGCCGAGGAAUGCCUAAUGAGGGCUCGGCGUGGCCCCGCCACGGAGCACAGGCUGGGACAGAUGGUCCAUCAUUACUCAUUUUUAUUAAUUACUAGCUCCGCAUGCCGCGACUGGCCAGCCAGCUCCAGGCUCCUCGGAGGUGCCACGGGCCCAGCUCUUCUGGAAGAAACGGCCCUUCAUUUAGAUCAGCGUGCCUCCCGGCCUCCUUUGAGCCACAGACAUUUCUGGCUCGCGCGGUCCCUGGGGUGCUGGGCCGGGCGUGGAGCAGCCACCUGCCUGAGGGGACUGGGAGAGGGGCCUGCACAGGACAGGAACAGGGGGCUCCUGGGGACCCUGGCCCGGGGCUCGGGCGGGCAACGAGGCUCCAGGACCCCCAGGAGCCAGCUCCGGGCUGCGGCUGCCUCCUGAGCCCUCUCCCUGCUGGCCUCUAGCCUGCGGGGCAUCACCUGCCUCAGAAGGAGCCUGUCUUCCAUCUCUGCCCUGCUGGCCUCGUGAGGGCCUUGGGGCCCGCAGACCCCUGGUGCCGGGGAAGGUUGUGCUCUGGGUGUUGGUCCGGUUGGAGCUCCACAGCCAUCUGCAGAUGCUCCAGACCCCAGCUUGAUCCCUCCCGGGGGCCUCUGGGGUCCCAUAGCCUUGGGUCCCAGCCCAGCAUUGCCUCUGACUUGCAGGGAUGCAGGGUAAAUCCCCCCAUCCCUGGACUUAGCCCCAACUGCAAGAUGGGGGCACGUCCUCCUUGAACGCUGAGUGGUGGGCGGCCCCAGAACCUGCGCUUCUACUGAUGCUGCAGAACUAGGACCAGUUCUGCUUUAGGCAAGUCCCUUGCCACCCGCAGCCUCCGCGAGGGGUGAUCGUGUCCUGCCGGACCCCCGACAAGAAGGGGGAGAAAGUGCAUGCGGGACAGUGACCCGCCAUGUCAGACAGUCCUGGGAGGGGUUCACUGAUGCUGGGGGAUGACUGGGGGCCCCAGGCUGCGUCGGGCGCCCUGGGAGCCCGCGUCUCCCUGCGGCCAGGACACCGACUUCCCUCCAGCUUCAGUGUGCGGCCUGUUAGCCCGGGAGAUAAUGGGACAUGAAGGACAAGAUCUCUAGUCAAUAUAAAGGCGCCGUGGAGGCUUUUUAUAUCUUGCUUCUGUCACACUGGGUAGGCGUUUUAUCUGCUGCCCACUUGACAGUACAUCGUACAGCUGGGUCCCUGCCCUGCUGGUGUCCAUCACAGCCUGUCCCGGGCUGCUGCCCAUUAGCCCGCGAAGCCCAGACUCCCGAGAGGUCAGCUCCAGGGGGCACUGGUGGCUGCACAGCCAGGAGAGCUGGGGACACCUUUGCAGAGAUGCAGGGGAGGCGAGGAGGUGUGGGUGGAGGUCACGUGGGAGGGGGCAGGCAGGGCUGGGCCGAGGACUGAGCUGAGGCCAGGAGCCCUCAGAGGUGGGCCCACCACAGGCUGCCCUGAGAUGGCCCGAGGAGCCACCCUGUCUGGGGCAGGACGGGGUGCUCAGCUCUUCUCAAGACAGAGCCAGGUGGGACAUGUAGGUGCAUAAACCAGCAGCUGCCAGGGCUGAGUAGUGAGCUCCCUGACAUUGGAGGAAAUCAAGCACAUCCUGAUGCCCCACUGGGCCAGGAGGCUUGAGUGGGAGAAGAAACGACAGUAAUUCAAGGGGCGGUGUGUAUUUUUCUCAAAAGUAAUUGAGCGGGGGGGCACGUUGUCCUGCAAGGAGGUGGUGGAGGGGCCACCUCCCACACUAGUUGGUGCUUUAAUGGAGGCCCAGGGGCUGGGCAGCCUGGAGGGAUCUGAGGCCUGCAGCUGUAGAUCCCAGGCUGCCCUGCAGAGCCGUCGACAUGGACCCAGGAAGGGGUGGAUCAGGGUGGCUGUGAGGAAGGCCACCCCCUGGACUCUCGUCCACAUGCCUCUGACCCACGAAUCAGGCCAGAGGGAGGGCGCUCGGCCAGGAAGGAUGGAGGCGCUGGCCUCAUUCCUGGAGGAAACUCAAUCAAUCGUUCCCUGCAGCAGGGCACCUCCUGGCCCAAAUCGCCUACUUUGCCUGGUUUUCCAUCCUGACGGGGGCUCAGGGUAAGUGGCCUGUCUUUGGGGGCAGAGGGCCCUCUGGGAAAGGAGAGCAGCUGACACUGAAGCAGGAGAUGGGACAGUCGGUUGGCAUGGAGACUGCCAGGGGGAGGGGCGGAGUUGGCCUCUGUUCCCUGGACCCACUUGCCUGUCCCUCCCCUGGGAUCCCCCCCCCCUCCAGCCAGGUCAGUUCAAGUCCUGUGAGGGGCACUGGGGCUCGGGGGCACUGGCACAAGCCCUUUCCUGCAAGGUGAUCCCCGACCAGGAACCACGACCCCAGCCCAGGUGAUGGGCGUGCACGGGCACCUGAACCGGCCCAGGACACCCAAGCUGGGCCUGAAGGGCAGAGGCCUGGGGCAGGCUGACCAGCGUGCUGGACAGCAUGCCACGCAGGGGCACAGGUGUAAGCACAGGCCUGGAGGUGAGGAGGCCACACCCUCAGAAGGGGACGAGCGCGCGCUAGGAUGGUGCCCACUGAACCCAGACCCGCCCUCCUGCCCCCGGGCUCCUGCGCCCCGGGGCUGGGCUGCAGCGGGUCUCCCAGGGAGAAGGGUGGGCAUUGGGGCCCCCACCGAGCAGGGCAGCAGGGCUACACGCUGACGGCCCACCUGUGAGGAACGGCACGCCUGUGGCUCGGUCCCGAAGCACCUACUGGGUCCACAUGUGUUCAAGGCCACGUCCACUUGGGGCCUCCGACGGCACCUCCAUCUUGGAGUCCCUGGAGGGACCUGGCGGCCCCCCUGGGGAGCCGUGGUCCCCGGCCUCUCACGCUGUAGGAGAGCAGCUCCAGCCCUCAAAGCACGAGGGGGUGCAAGCCCCUUUGGGACAGCUUUCCUAGCCCCACCUCUGCAGCCCCGGGAAAGGCGGCCCGUUAGUUCCCAGAACUUGGAGAUGCAAUGGACCCGACUCAGCCCAUCGUGUGGUUUAUCCCAGACGCGCGAUGCCAACAAAGACGUGCGUUUCUGCAGCCUCUGGCUUCCAAGGAGGCGACAUGGCCCCCAUUUCCUCUGGUCGGUGUGCAGCUGGCCCCAAGGAGCAGGUGGGGACACAGGUGCGAACAGAGGUCACGCAGGUGAGCAGGAGAGAGGCCAGAGCUGAGGCCACGGGGGAGCAGCGUGGCGUCUGAAGGCUGGGCAGAUGUCUCUGCCUCCCUCAGACCGAGACGCCACGGGGGUGGCGCUGUGAGGCCUCCAGGCGCCCAGCCCCACGAUGGGGAAGAGCGGCCGUGAUGUGCGAACGACUCAGCGCCGCUCAGCGAAACGGCAGCCAACGGACACACACCUUUGGACAGGGUGGAAGGAGCCAGACCCAGGGAGGGCAUAUACUCUAUGACCCCAAGUUUAUGAAAUUCCGGAAGAGAAUUACAUGUGAAAGCCAAUGAAAGAGGCCAGGUGCUGUAGCCAAGCGGCUGGACCGUGGUAGCUGUUCACUGACCGUGUGUGUGAGACCUUGGACUAGUUUCUUGGACUCCUGGUGCCUCAGUGCCGCCAUGGCAUGAAAGAAUUAACGAACAUCAAGUACUUACACGCAGGGGCCAAGACGAUUCAAUGGAGAAGGAACAGUCUUUUCAACAAAUGGUGCUGGGACCAACAACACGGGUAAAGAAUGAAACUGGACCCCCUUUUCACAGCAUCUGAAAAAUAACUUAAUGGAUCAAAGACCUAAAUAUAAGGGCUGAAACUAUAAGACUCUUAGAAGAAAACAUAGGAGUAAAUCUUCACCUUAGGCAGGGGCUUCUUAGGUACGACAUCAAAAGCACAAGCAACGAAAAGAAAAAAAAAAAUUGGACCUCAUCAAAAUUAAAAACUUUUGUGCUGCAAACA